rnacentral:rRNA from 1 species
GAUGAACGCUGGCGGCGUGCCUAAUACAUGCAAGUCGAGCGAACAGACGAGGAGCUUGCUCCUUUGAUGUUAGCGGCGGACGGGUGAGUAACACGUAGGUAACCUACCUAUAAGACUGGGAUAACUUCGGGAAACCGGAGCUAAUACCGGAUAAUAUUUCGAACCGCAUGGUUCGAUAGUGAAAGAUGGCUUUGCUAUCACUUAUAGAUGGACCUGCGCCGUAUUAGCUAGUUGGUAAGGUAACGGCUAACCAAGGCAACGAUACGUAGCCGACCUGAGAGGGUGAUCGGCCACACUGGAACUGAGACACGGUCCAGACUCCUACGGGAGGCAGCAGUAGGGAAUCUUCCGCAAUGGGCGAAAGCCUGACGGAGCAACGCCGCGUGAGUGAUGAAGGUCUUCGGAUCGUAAAACUCUGUUAUUAGGGAAGAACAAACGUGUAAGUAACUGUGCACGUCUUGACGGUACCUAAUCAGAAAGCCACGGCUAACUACGUG